GUGCUCACUUUGGCAGCACAUAUACUAAAAUUGGAACGAUAUAGAGAAGAUUAGCAUGGCCCCUGUGCAAAGAUGACAUGCAAAUUCAUGAAGCAUUCCGUAUUUUU
ensembl:snRNA U6 U6 spliceosomal RNA